rnacentral:rRNA from 1 species
GGGGGGGGGGGGGGGGGGGGGGAGGAGGGGGGGGGCGAGCGGGGGCGCAGGAAGGGCUUGCGCUUACGGGUGGCGAGUGGCGGACGGGUGAGGAAGACAUCGGAAUCUACUUUUUCGGGGGGGAUAACGUAGGGAAACUUACGCUAAUACCGCAUACGACCUACGGGGGAAAGCAGGGGAUCUUCGGACCUUGCGCGAUUGAAUGAGCCGAUGUCGGGUUAGCUAGUUGGCGGGGUAAAGGCCCACCAAGGCGACGAUCCGUAGCUGGUCUGAGAGGAUGAUCAGCCACACUGGAACUGAGACACGGUCCAGACUCCUACGGGAGGCAGCAGUGGGGAAUAUUGGACAAUGGGCGCAAGCCUGAUCCAGCCAUACCGCGUGGGUGAAGAAGGCCUUCGGGUUGUAAAGCCCUUUUGUUGGGAAAGAAAAGCAGCAGGUUAAUACCCCGCUGUUCUGACGGUACCCAAAGAAUAAGCACCGGCUAACUUCGUG